GUGAGGGAUGUGUGCUUCUUGUUAAGAGAUUGAUGUAUGAGAGUUAAGAGUAAGUGAUCUUCCCUUAUAUUUAUGGAUUUCUCUCAUAGUGAAGUUACAUACCCCAUAGUGGUAAGCCUUGAGUUGAUCCAUGUUAUUUGGUUAUGUUUUUUGCUUCUUUCUUCAUCCUUUCUCUUAUGGUAUUGAUAUCGUCAUCGGUGUUGCAAUCUUGGGUGGAGAUCUAUAUUCCGCACUUAUGAGGAAUUCUCCAAUAUGUGGUAUCAGAGUACGGGAUUGUCUAAGUUAUGGUGGUGUUGAUCGAGAUUGAAGAAGAUGGAGAAAACAAGCUCAAUCAAGAUAGAGAUCAAACAAUUUGAUGAGAAAAGCAAUUUCUCUCUAUGGCGAGUGAAGGUGAAAAAUGUGCUC
rnacentral:lncRNA from 1 species